rnacentral:snRNA from 1 species
GCUGUUAGCUUCCACUGGAA